rnacentral:rRNA from 1 species
UACGGGGGGGAGCAAGCGUUGUUCGGAUUUACUGGGGCGUAAAGGGCGCGUAGGCGGUCGUGACAAGUCACUUGUGAAAUCUCCGGGGCUUAACUCGGAACGGUCAAGUGAUACUGUCGGACUAGAGUACAGAAGGGGCGAACUGGAAUUCUCGGUGUAGCGGUGAAAUGCGUAGAUAUCGGGAGGAACACCAGUGGCGAAGGCGGCGAUCUGGGAAGAUACGUGACGCUGAGGUGCGAAAGCGUGGGGAGCAA